AUGAUGGCCUCGCCUUCAUCAAAGCAACAUCUAUUCCUAUCUCAAAAUCAAAAUAAGGGUUAUAAUUUCAAUUUGCUUCUCUCUGAAAUCUUAACCUUUUCAUCUAACUAUCUUUAUUCGCUGUUGUCGAUGGUUCUAAAGGCUCCGCUGACGGAAUUCAAGGUUGGCCUUACCUUAGAAAAAGUUGGGAAUGAAGUUAUGAGCACUGCUGCCAAGGUAGUUCUAACCAAAUAUACAACCACAAUCAUUGAUGAUUCAAGUACCUGGGUAGUCGUUACCAAGACUUGA